AAAAGGAAGAGAGAACCACUGUCUUAAAUUUCUGAUUGCGUGAUAAAACUUUUAAAAUAACUUAAGAUUUCCAGAGUUUCAGAAUUAGUUCAAGAAAUCCCUGUCUAGCCUGCACUAUGCUUUGUCCUACAUGCUCAAAAUUAUUACAAAUUAAACUUAGCAUCUGUGCAGUGCUGUUGCCUUAGAUAUAAGCCAAAUUCUGAUUUUGCCAGGUUUUGCAGCAGUCAUAUGGUUUCAUCCUGAAUCGAUGAUACAGGAUCCCAUGAUUCAUUGCUGUGUGUUCUCCAACAUGGCUUACUCUAUUGAAAUGGUUUUUACCAUUGAAAGUACUAACUUUGCCACUAUUUAAGGGUACUGGUCAGAUGUUUUCUGGGAUAGCUCAAGAUGAGCUCUCCUAGGGAAUUUCUCAGAGAUAUGGAUUUCAGCAAGAAUACACAGUAGAGUGAGACGGGUUUUAGCACUUUAAGAACUAGAAAAUAAGAUUUGUUUAAGUACUUUCCUAGUUAAAUAGUGGUGAAAUUGGCAUGGGAAAGUUGAUUGUGGGUGUUUCACUUUGCAUUUUAUGAUUAAUUUAUGAUUUGCUGUUUAGGUUUCUGUGAUUAUAAUGCCGUGAAAUUGGGGUGUUCCUGGUGACUUUUUACUCAGUUCUUUUUCCAUUUCUCUGUGUGGUCUGUCCACCUGCCCCAUCCUCAUAGAAAGCUUAGGGGCUGCCACAGCCAGUUCAGAAUCUUAUUAGUUGACAACUGUGCCAGUUUGGUCAGACUGUUUCAGCUCUGCUUCCUUAAGUAGACUGGGUAGGGGGUGGGGCUCUGUGGAUCCACCCUAUGGCUUUUUUCCAUCUUAAGAAGUAAACAGAUUUGUUGAAAAUGCCUGUUAGGUUAGUUGCUUAUGUAGACUGAGUUAGUAUAAAUACAAAUAUCUCAGGUCUUUGAAAAAUAUCUCUGGAAUAGGUAAUAAAAAACCACUGAAGGUUUCUGCUGGAAACAGAGAAAGAACCGUGGAUAAUUCUUAGGGCAGCCACAGUCAGAAAUGGCUGGUAAGAGAGCGGCUACCCUUUAGAUUCCUUCUCAGUUUGUCAUUUUCAUACCUGCACGUGCAGAACUGUCUACAGGGAGGAGCUGGUGUGUGUUUGUGUGUGUGUGUGUGUGUCUGAGUAUACACAUGUGCGCAUGUGUAUAUGUAUGCCUGUAGAUUGAUAGGUUUGCACUUUUGUAUUGAUAUGUACAUACUUAUAUAUAGGGAUAUGUUAACAUAUAUGUUCCUACAUAUAUUUAUAUUACUAUUUAUGUCAAUAGUUAUAUGUUUUAGAAGAGGAAAUGGUAUUUAGUCAGCCAUGGCAAGCCUUAUCUUACUUUCCAAAUAUUCCAUAACUGUUAUUCUAUCCAUUUUAUGAAAGAAGACAGUAAAUCCAGGAAGACUCGAGUUUCCUGAGUCACAGAACCAGCAGACCCCAGUACCAGGAUGCCAACCCAGAACUGCUGCUGCUGCUUGUCUCACUUGCUCAGAAGUUACCUCUUGUCACUGACGUAGUUUGGGGAGUAGAGGACCAUCCAUAGCCCUUCUUGCUGGAUCCUCCUUCACCUUCUCCCCAGCCACACACACAACCCAGGCCUCUGAAAUACAAUAUUGAAUUUAAGAUAUAGUUUGAAAACUGCUAAGGCCUCCUUUAAUAUAAAGGAGAGUUGUUGAUCAGCAGCACAUUUGAUACAUAGAUUGUGUUGUAGGAUGCUGUUCUGAAAUGGAGUGGUUUGAGUGCUGUAAAAGGGGACUAUAGUUGUUCUGUUUACCUUGCUGCCUGACUAGAGGGUGCAUCAUGUGCACUGUUCCUUUCCUGGUUCUUCCCAUCAUGUCUGUUCUUCCUUUCCCAUCUUCUUACUUCCUCAGAGCUCUCUUUCCAUGGUAUGCUGGUGGCCAUGCAAAAGUCAAUGCCACAGUUUCCCCUUGGGUCUCUGCCUAGCCUAAUCUCUAGCCAUCUCAUAAAGAAUACAUUUUCUGGUUGUGCUCUGAUGUUAGUGUCCUCUAGCAUUUGAGAGCUUCUAUCAUAAACACUGCAGUGCAAGCCCAAGAUACUUCCUCCUAGAUACUUCUCAGGAACGAUUUCUCAUUUGGCAUUGAAGCUGCCAUGCCCUAGUGUAACAGACUAGGCGCAGAGAUGAUUUAUAGGCAGAGAUGAUACACUGACUCCAGCUUGAGUUAAUCUAACUUGCCUGGGCAUUUGUAGAUUUCUCUCUCUGUCAUUUCGUAGGGAGGCUUGUAUUUUACUGCCCUGUAGGAUGUAACAGGUUUACCUAAGUUCCCUGUUUACCAACAGAGCAAGGCCAUGUCUAGGUCAUUGCACUGCCUCAUCCCUGGAGCCCUGUUGGUCCUCUAAGCAUUUACUGAAAUUCAUCUUUAGCUCUCUUUUCUCUUGACACAGCCAUUGAUUUUUUUCUUGUUAUUUUAUUUUAUUCUCUUGAACUGCCCCUCUAUUACCAGUUGAGUUGAUUUCUGAUUGGCUAACAGACUGUCUUUUCACUGCUCCGUUGCCUCUUGAGAUUAGAGUCAAGUCAAGUGGAUGCGAUGCCUGACCAUGAAGAUUCUCACUGGUUGCUCCAUCCGUAUGCCAGGCCAGCGCCCAGCACUUGGGAUGUGCAUCCCUUCACUUUCCUGUCUCCGUUUCUCACUGACUCAUUGGUGAGCUGGCUGCUGGGAGAGUGCAGCCCUGAGUGUCUCACUCCUUGGGAUGUUAGUUGUACAUCUUUCACAACUUUCGCCUUGGAUACAUUUUCAAGUGGACUCUAUUCUCUUCAAUAAUAUCUUAUCUAACAUAGCACUCUGUACUGUCCAAAAUAUUUCACAUAUUCUCGCUUAAUCUUGUACACAACAUACAGAAUUUCAUUAUUUGGUUGUCCAAAAUUUCUCCUCACUGGAAAACUUCCAUUAUGCCUUCUCCCCCUCUUUUUUUUUUUAAACCAAUUCAGCGAUAAUGAUCAAUCUAAGUAAAUAGCAAUAUUCUUUCAAGUUUUAAUUUGGUGACCAUUUUCCUAUUUCUAUCAAAUAUGUUCAAUACUUUAUUCAUUUUGGGGCCCCAGUCUGAUAGGGCUAGUAAUUUCAGUUAUUGAUAAGGCUGAUGAUAAUGGGGGGGGGUGAUAUAGUGCUAGCAAGCAUUCAUCAAAUGCUUACCUUGUUGCCAAGGGCAGUUUUCAAAGGCACCAGAUAUGUGUUAGCUCAUGAAGUUCUCUCAACUCAACUAGGUCCACAAAUAAGAAUUCUGGGAGGGUUUAAUAAGUCACUUAAGGUCAUGGAAUUCACAAGUGUCAGAGCCAACAUAUGAGCCCAGUUAUCCUGAUUCCAACCCCUAUAUACAUGAACUAUAAAACAGCAGAAACAACUGCAAGAAACCAUAUGUGUUCAUUUGCUGAUAACUGCUUUGAAAACGUCUAAGUGUCCCAUGGAUGCUACUUUUCUUGUCACCACAACGUGAAGGGCAGACACUGAGUCAGCCUUUGCUGAGUCAGCCUUUGCUGUUGCCAUUCUUACUGUCUUGUUAGGCAGCAUGAAUUACGGAAAUAGAACAAGGCUGUCUUGUAAAUUUUUCUGAGUGUCUCCACUGGCCACUGCCACUAAGAUUACCAUAGAUAAAAUAAGGCUUUUAAAACAUGAGUCCCAAGGUGCAUGUAGGAAGUUAUAUUUAUAUAUUGUAGCUGAAAGGUCAGCCUGGACAGAGCCCCGCGGGCAGAACAGAGGUGGCGAGUGCUAAAUCUGAGGCUGACUGGGGGAUCUUUGUCUGGCUUGUAGUUGUGAUUUAUAGUGGGAAUACUUUCUUCAAGGAGUAGGAGUGGGUGGUGGCAAGGCAUGACAGCCAAAUGUAGUGCUGUUGGCCCUCUCUGCAGAGGAUAAGGAGUCUCACUUGUUAGUGGAGCUCUUAAAGAGGUCUAUAAUUCACUAAUUGUAGCGUAUUGACUUGAGUGAUUACCCAUCAGUACAUUCUCUGGGAUGAAGAUGAGGCUUUAAAAUUAGCACUGUUGGUUGGAGAUGACUUUGUAGAAUGAUUGAAGGGCUCUUUGUUAACUCUUCCUUAUAUUCUCUGUGAGUAGAGACUGCAGACAUUCUAUUCAAAUUCAUUCAUCCUCAGGAGUCCUUUCGGGAAGCAGAAGGAUGCAAUGGAGAAGGGAAAUGGAGAUGUUUGUUUAAAUCCUUGGUUUCGUCUUAACAGGUAGUUCCAGAAAAUGCUGCAAGAUAGAAAAGACCCCUUGGGUUAGGGACAAGUGUAUAGUAAAGGGGGUGGGGUUACAAGGAAUUAGUAAGGACUAGACUAUCAUAGAACUGUAUUCCCCUGCAUACAGUUUGUUUGUUUGUUUGUUUGCUUGUUUGUUUGUUUGUUUGUUUGU
ensembl:sense_intronic Gm43024 predicted gene 43024